ACCUGGGUGGCUCAGUCAGUUAAGCAUCUGACUUCAGCUCAGGUCACGAUCUCACAGCUUGUGGGUUCAAGCCCCACAUCAGGCU
rnacentral:tRNA from 1 species